UGCCAAAUGUUUCCCAGCAGACACAAAAU
rnacentral:sRNA from 1 species